rnacentral:rRNA from 1 species
UACAGAGGUCCCAAGCGUUGUUCGGAUUUACUGGGCGUAAAGGGUGCGUAGGUGGCAUGCAAAGUCUGAUGUGAAAUCUUGAAGCUUAACUUCGAAACUGCAUUGGAAACUGGCGUGCUAGAGUAGUGUAGGGGAGACUGGAAUGCUCGGUGUAGCAGUGAAAUGCGUAGAUAUCGAGCGGAACACCAGUGGCGAAGGCGAGUCUCUGGACACUUACUGACACUGAGGCACGAAAGCCAAGGGAGCAAACGGG